UACAGAGGGGGCAAGCGUUGUUCGGAAUUACUGGGCGUAAAGGGCGCGUAGGCGGCCUGCUAAGUCGAACGUGAAAUCCCUGGGCUCAACCCAGGAACUGCGUCCGAUACUGGUUGGCUUGAAUCCGGGAGAGGGACGUGGAAUUCCAGGUGUAGCGGUGAAAUGCGUAGAGAUGUGGAGGAAUACCGAUGGCGAAGGCAGCCCCCUGGGAUGACACUGACGCUCAUGCACGAAAGCGUGGGGAGCAAACAGG
rnacentral:rRNA from 1 species